GAUGAAGAACGUAGCGAAAUGCGAUACGUAAUGUGAAUUGCAGAAUUCAGUGAAUCAUCGAAUCUUUGAACGCAUAUUGCGCUCUCUGGUAUUCCGGAGAGCAUGCUUGUUUGAGUAUCAGUAAACACCUCAACUCUUUUUUCUUUUUUGAAAUUGGAGCUGGACUUGAGUGAUCCCAACGCUUUCUUCCAAGAAAGUGGCGGGUUGCUUGAGAUGCAGGUGCAGCUGAACUUUUCUCUGAGCUAUAAGCAUAUCUAUUUAGUCUGCCUAAAAAACAGAUUAUUACCUUUGCUGCAGCUAACAUAAAGGAGACUAGUUCUUGUGCUGACUGAUGCAGGAUUCACAGAGACAGCUUCGGCUGACUUUGUAAACUCGAUCUCAAAUCAAGUAAGACUACCCGCUGAACUUAAGCAUAUCAAUAAGCGGAGGA
rnacentral:misc_RNA from 1 species